rnacentral:rRNA from 1 species
GAAGCUUGCUUCUUUGCUGACGAGUGGCGGACGGGUGAGUAAUGUCUGGGAAACUGCCUGAUGGAGGGGGAUAACUACUGGAAACGGUAGCUAAUACCGCAUAACGUCGCAAGACCAAAGAGGGGGACCUUCGGGCCUCUUGCCAUCGGAUGUGCCCAGAUGGGAUUAGCUAGUAGGUGGGGUAACGGCUCACCUAGGCGACGAUCCCUAGCUGGUCUGAGAGGAUGACCAGCCACACUGGAACUGAGACACGGUCCAGACUCCUACGGGAGGCAGCAGUGGGGAAUAUUGCACAAUGGGCGCAAGCCUGAUGCAGCCAUGCCGCGUGUAUGAAGAAGGCCUUCGGGUUGUAAAGUACUUUCAGCGGGGAGGAAGGGAGUAAAGUUAAUACCUUUACUCAUUGACGUUACCCGCAGAAGAAGCACCGGCUAACUCCGUGCCAGCAGCCGCGGUAAUACGGAGGGUGCAAGCGUUAAUCGGAAUUACUGGGCGUAAAGCGCACGCAGGCGGUUUGUUAAGUCAGAUGUGAAAUCCCCGGGCUCAACCUGGGAACUGCAUCUGAUACUGGCAAGCUUGAGUCUCGUAGAGGGGGGUAGAAUUCCAGGUGUAGCGGUGAAAUGCGUAGAGAUCUGGAGGAAUACCGGUGGCGAAGGCGGCCCCCUGGACGAAGACUGACGCUCAGGUGCGAAAGCGUGAGGAGCAAACAGGAUU